UCCAGUGUGGUCGCGGCCUCCGGGUUCUUCCCGGGCGGUAGAGGUAACACUCUCACGCGCCACGCGUUUGAAUCCUUUUUUUACGAGCACCUUUCGUUCUCCUUCGGUGGGGCAACCUGCCGUUGGAAUCAUACAAAAACUUUUUUGCAUCUAGCAUUACCUGUUCCGAUAACAAACAAUCGUUACAACUUUCAACAAUGGAUCUCUUGGCUCUGGCAUCGAUGAAGAACGCAGCGAAAUGCGAUAAGUAGUGUGAAUUGCAGAAUUCAGUGAAUCAUCGAAUCUUUGAACGCACAUUGCGCCCCUUGGUAUUCCAUGGGGCAUGCCUGUUCGAGCGUCAUCUACACCCUCAAGCUCUGCUUGGUGUUGGGCGUCUGUCCCGCCUCGGCGCGUGGACUCGCCCCAAAUUCAUUGGCAGCGGUCUUUGCCUCCUCUCGCGCAGCACAUUGCGCUUCUCGAGGUGUUUGCGGGGCCCGCGUCCACGAAGCAUUACCAGUCUUUGACCUCGGAUCAGGUAGGGAUACC
rnacentral:rRNA from 1 species